CAAAGCCAAACGCCGAAUUCCCCGAGAGGGGGAACGGGGGACCCGGAACUUAGGGGUGAACGCGAUCUCAUUGAUCGCUAGGGUAACUCUUGGCCCGAACCCGACAGCUAACCCCGUAGGCGACGUGAGAGUCGGA
rnacentral:sRNA from 2 species